ACUCUUCUUUUGUGACAGUAUUAGAGUCAAAACUUGUCCAGACACCGCUCAUGUCUGCCAAAUGGAUGGUGAGACAGGAGGUCAGACUGAAUUAAUUUGCACAGUUUCCCAUCUGGCGUCUGAUUCAUUCUGUGAGGCUGCUGGAAACAGCGGAGGUCUACAGAUGACUGCUACUAAAACAUGACCAUAUGGGCGCAUCAACAUCCACAGGAAACUGGAGUCUCUGGGGUGGUGGCUUCACAUGGAAGACAACAGAAAGAAGUCAGAACAAAGACAAAUCGCUCUGCACUGGGCUUUCCAGCCGAGCAGAUCCAGAAAGAGACAACAUCAGAAGAAAGUAAUUUCAGGUUUCCAGUUCUUCUUCCAUCUUAAAGGUGUUCUGUGUGUCCAGGGCUGACUGUGGCCCCUGGAUCUGCAGGUGGGAGCCUCCCCUCCAUCCUCCCGCGUCAUUUCCCUCCUUGACUUCCUUUACCUGCCCUUUAUCACAUUGCUUCCUACCCAGGGCAAUCUUGUGAUACCAUUAGCUGAUUGGAGAUUAAUAGGAGACAGGAGGAUCCCACAGGACAAACCAACCAACCAACCCUGCCUUUUUGAAAGCCUGGCUGUCAGAAGCUUCUGCCGGCAGGUGGCUGCAGGUCAUAAAACCGAUUGGAAGCAUUUCCACUUUGUAAAGCAGACCCCAAAAGGCAAACGUGGAAUCAGGAUUCACGUUACAUAGCAUCCUGCACGUGCCCCUCCGCUCCUGAUGAACUGCUCAGGAAGCAGGUGAGAACUGGAAGCACACGGAAAGUGGAGCUAUUAAGCUAUCUGGGCCACUGAUGAGAUGCUGCUGGCUGGCUUAACCUCUUCAGUGCCUGCCUAGUUCUGUUGCAGCUGUUGGCACAGUUACCAGCCCUGAGAAAUAUAGGGCACUUAUUUUUGGAAACGCGCUCUAUAUCCGAAAGCACUCAUGAUGAUGAGAUUCAGCCAGACGGCAGAAACACGGUCACCUGCUCCUGCAAAACAUCACUGAGCACAGCAGUGGUUCUGGGCGCCAUUAAUUAUUAUUACACCCGGCUGCAUUUCCCUUGCCUCCCCGCAAGCCUCACAAAGAACCCGGAUUU
rnacentral:lncRNA from 1 species